AUUGAACGCUGGCGUCAGGCCUAACACAUGCAAGUCGAACGAGUGGCGGACGGGUGAGUAAUGUAUGGGAAACUGCCUGAUGGAGGGGGAUAACUACUGGAAAAGGUAGCUAAUACCGCAUACCAUCGGAUGUGCCAAGAUGGGAUUAGCUAGUAGGUGGGGUAACGGCUCACCUAGGCGACGAUCCCUAGCUGGUCUGAGAGGAUGACCAGCCACACUUGAACUGAGACACGGUCCAGACUCCUACGGGAGGCAGCUGUGGGGAAUAUUGCACAAGGGGCGCAAGCCUGAUGCAGCCAUGCCGCGUGUAGGAUGAAGGCCUUCGGGUUGUAAAGUACUUGCAGCGGGGAGGCGUUACCCGCAGAAGAAGCAACGGCUAACUCCGUGCCAGCAGCCGCGGUAAUAC
rnacentral:rRNA from 1 species